AAAGAUAAGAUAAGAACGAAAAGAUUAUAUGCAUCGUAACCGUGUAAUUUCCCUCCCACCGCGUAACCUCAGCGCUAUAUAUACCCACUGACCUCGUGUCAAUCUUCUGUUUGAAUGGGAUUUGAAUUUUAUUGGUAUUGUUUCGAGGAUUGUCGUCUAUGGCUUUGGGGAUUGUGUUUCCAUUCUUGAUCAAGUUUCUUUAGGGUUUUGCGAAGUGUACGGAGUUUACAAUCAAUCAGUGUGUGUUGUGUUGUCGGAUUGAACAACCGCGAGCGUUUUGUUCGAUCAAAUUGUGUUUUGUCGGAUUGAAGAACCGCUAGCAUCCUUGCUUUUUGUGGGAUUGAAGAAUGCAAGAAUUAUCAGUAGAUUUACGCCAAUUCUAAAUAGAAUUUAUUUGAUUAUGUUGAGUUUUGGGUUUUUUGCUUAAUUUCUUUACACCUUUUCAAAUGGUCGCCGCUGGUACUCUGACAUCUUUUAUUUUAUUUUAUUUUUUUUUUGCAUACGAAUGAUAUGAAAAUAAUAGUUGUUCGGAACAACCUAAGUUUUCUCGGCGUCUCCUUUCUAUUAUAUAAGUUUUUUGGUAUUGAUCAUCGAACAUAGGGAUUGAACUAUGAUUUGUUUAUCUGCAGUGGUAUUUGGAAUAGUUUUGUAACCUCCUGAAUUGAGAGCGUUUAUCGUGUUCUUGUUCUUGAAUUUGCGGAACAAUGAAGAUACGGUAUGGAUGUGGUAUAGGAGAUCAGGUGAAGUGUUAGGUUUUGUUACCAUUAUGUUUUCUUAAGACGAUCUGAUUGGAGCCUAUCAAAUUUGUUGUUUGUGUUCAUUCCUAUGCAGCAUGUCCUCGAGUCUGAGAUUUAUUUUGGCCAUUGAGAAGGUAGAAACGAGUUUCGAUGGCUGGCUUUCGAUGUACCGAAUUACUUUGAUCUUCUUAGAUGUAGGAAGGUACAUGCGUUAGCCAUGGGGAUUGUUUUCUUCUACUCAUGUUUCAGCUAAGAGAGGCAAUAACUCUAGAUUAUUAAACUUAUUGCAAAGCUUUAUGUUUUAUUAUGUUUCAAUUUACUAAUUUUCUUGAGAAUGGCUAUGGUCUCUCUUGUUCGUCGUAGGAAUGUACAUGAAUCAGCCAUUGUCCUACAUGAAUCAGCCAUUGUGUUUGUCUAAUAAGCAAUAGCAAUACUUGGUCUCUGAAAUUAUGAUCAUUGAGUUUGUUAUGGAAAUUUCUCCAUCGGUGUUUAUUGAAUUUGUUUAUUCAUGGUAUUGUCUAGGUCUUUUAUCUUCUUCCGAGAUUAAUUAUUUUUUUAUUCAUGGGUUGUAUUUCUAUAUGCAUUCAGUUGGAGGUCUUGUAAAUUCUCACUAUAUGAGUUAGAGGCUUUGACAUUUGCGGUUUUAGACGGUUGACUCUGUUCAUUUUGAUUAUCUUCAGUUAAGAGGAUGUCUAUUGGGUUGUGGAUGCAAUAUUGUUGACUCUGUUCAUUUUGAUUAUCUUUUCAUUUUGAUUAUCUUCAGUUAAGAGGAUGUCUAUUGGGUUAUGGAUGCAAUAGCUGAAUAUUAUUGAACUUAUCGUAUAGGUCCUUCAUCUUUUACCAGACUAAUUAUACUUUUCUUAAAUUCAUGGGUUGUACAAGGAAACUACAAAAUGAAGGGGAUGCAUAGUCUGCAAAUGAUGGUGGUCAUGUUUUGGGAACAAUGGAUGGAGAUCCCGUGAGAGGCCAAACUUGUGGAGUGGGAGAUCUUGUAAAUACACACUAUAUGAGUGAGAAAGUUUGGCAUUUGUGUUGUUGGGGUCGACUCUUCAUUUUGAUUAUCUUCUUCUACUAGUGUUGUAGUGAAGAUGAUGUCUAUUUGAUCGUGGAGGCAAUAGCUGUAGUUUAUUGAACUUACUACAUAUCUUUAUUUUUUUUUUUCACGUUUUGAUUUACUUUCUUUCUUAUGUGCUUCAGUUGGAAUGGUUGUAGUUUCUCUUAUUGGAAUCGUUGUAGUUUCUCUUAUUGACUGCAGGAUUGUACAUGUGUCAGCGAUGGUCUUUCUUUAAGCAAGAGCAAUGCUUGAUCAUUGGACAUUAUGAUCGUCGAGCUGGUUGUGGAAAUUUUUCCAUUGGUUUUCUUUAAUUAUUAAAUUUGUUUGUUCAUCCUAUUGUCUAGGUCUUUCAUCUUCUACCCAGUUUGAUUAUAAUUUUCUUGAAUUCAUGGACUUCAUAGGGAAACUAAGAAACGAAGUGGGGUGUAGAAUGUGCAAGUGGUGGUCGGCACAUUUCAGAAGCAGUGGAUGGAGAAACGAAAUGGGUGCAGAGUGUGCAAAUGGUGGGUGGUGGGCAGUUUUCAGAAACAGUGGAUGGAGAUCUGGUGAAACUUUAGGUUUUAUUAUCUUUGUAUUCAGUAUUUUCGAUGCCGUUAUUCUUCAGAUAAACUUGUGGAGUGGGUGAUCUAUUAAAUUAGCAUUAUAUGGGUGGGAGGCUUUGGCAUGUGUUGUUGGAACAUUAACUCUGUUGAUUUUCAUUAUCUUCUUCUACUCGUGUUGCAGUGAAGAGGAUAUCUAUUGAAUUGUGGAGCCAAUGGAGCCAAUAGCUGUAGAUUAUUGAACUUACUACAAAGCUUUAUGUUUUGUUACGUUUCCAUUUACUGUCUUUCUUAUGCGCUCAAGUUGGAAUGGCUGUAGUCUCUUUUAUUGGUUGUAGGAAGGUACAUAUUGUCUUUAUCUAAGCAAGAGCAAUACUUCAAUCUUUGAACAUUGUGAUCAUUGUUAAUGGGAAUUUCUCAAUUAGUUUUUUAAUUCUUGAAUUUGUUUAUUUAUUGUCUAGGUCCUUCAUCUUCCACCCAAAUACAGCCAAUAGCUGUAGAUUAUUGAACUUACUACAAAGCUUUAUGUUUUGUUACGUUUCCAUUUACUGUCUUUCUUAUGCUGUUUUUCUUAUGCGCUCAACUUGGAAUGGCUUUCUUAUGCUGUUUUUCUUAUGCGCUCAACUUGGAAUGGCUUUCUUAUGCUGUUUUUCUUAUGCGCUCAACUUGGAAUGGCUGUAGUCUCUUUUAUUGGUUGUAGGAAGGUACAUAUUGUCUUUAUCUAAGCAAGAGCAAUACUUCAAUCUUUGAACAUUGUGAUCAUUGUUAAUGGGAAUUUCUCAAUUAGUUUUUUAAUUCUUGAAUUUGUUUAUUUAUUUUCUAGGUCCUUCAUCUUCCACCCAAAUUGAUUAUAUUUUUCUUGAAUACAUGGAGUUUUCAGGGAAACUAUGAAAUGAAGUGGGUUCAAGGUUUGCAAAUAGAGGAUGGUUGGCAGGGUUUGGAAAUAGUGGAUGGAGAUCCGGUAGAUCCGGUGAAACCUUAGCAAUGAGGAUGUCUGUUUUAUCGUGGAGACGGCAAAUUAUUCAACUUACUACAAAGCUUCAUGUUCUUUUACGUUUCCAUUAUUCCUAUGUGCUCUAGUUUAAAUGGCGUGGUAGUCUCUCUUAUUGUUUCUAGGAAGGGAAACUAAGAAAUGAAGUGGGUGCAGGGUGUGCCAAUGGUGGGUGGUGGGCGGCUUUUGGAAACAGUGGAUGGGGAUAUGGCCAAACCUUAGGGAAAAACUAAGAAAUGAUGUGGGUGCUAGGUGCGCAAAUAUAGAGGGUGGUUGGCAAAUAUUUGGAAACAGUGGAUGGACAUCCGGUGAAACCUUAGGUUUUAUUAUCUUUCUUUCCAUUCGUUAUUUUCUUUGUCGUUGUUCUUAAUGUUCUUCAUGCUAAACUUGUGGAGUGAGAUAUCUUAUAAAUAGGAUUACAUGAGUGAAAGGCUUUGACAUGUGUCUUGUUUGAUUGCUGACUCUGUUUAUGUUGAUCGUCUUCUUCUAGUCGUGUUGCAGCAAUGAGGAUGUCUGUUGGAUCGUGGUGGCAAAAACUGUAAAUUGUUGAACUUACUACAAAGUUUCAUGUUUUAUUAUGUUUUCAUUUUUUAUUUUUCUUGUGUGUUCGUGUUUGAAUGGUUUUAGUCUUUCUUAUUGGUUGAAGGUACAUGUGUCAACCAUGUUGUUUGUCUAAGCAAGUACAAUACUUGAUUGCAGAACAUUGAUGAUCAAGCUCGUGUUGAAAAUUUCUCCAUCGUUUUUUUUUAAUUCUAGAAUUUUUUAUUCAUCUUAUCUGUCCAUGUCCUUCCUCUUCUACCAGAUUGAUUAUAGUUUUCUUAAAUUCAUAGGCUUUAUAGGGAAACUAAGAAAUGAGGUGGGUGCAGGAUGUUCAAAUGGUGGGGUGCUGUGCAGAUUUUGGAAAUAGUGGAUGGGGAUUCGGUGAAACCUUAAGGAAUACAUGUGUCAGCCAUGGCGCUUGUCUAAGCAAAGCAGUUCUUGAUCUUUGAACAUUGUGAUCAUCGAGUAAUUCUUGAAUUUGUUUUUUCAUCUUACCGUCCUUCAUCUUCCUACCCAGAUUGAUUGUAGUUUUCUUGAAUUCAUGGGUUAGUCAGGGAAACUAAGAAAUGAUGUCGGUGCAAGGUGUGCAAAUAGAGGGUGGUUGGCAAGUUUUGAGAUCCGGUGAAACCUUAGGUAUGUGUCAGCCAUGUGUGUGUCUAUGCUAGUGCAAUACUUGAUCGCUGAAUAUUAUGUUCAUCAAGCCUGUUAUGGAAGUUUCUCAAUUGGUAUUUUUAAUUCUUGAAUUUGUUUAUUCUCUAAAUGUCUAUGUCCUUUGUUUCCUACCUAGAUGGAUUAUAAUUUUCUUAAAUUCAUGGGCUUUUUAGGCAAACUAAGAUCGCUAUUUUUAUUGCCAUUCUCUUCAGAUUAAACUUGGUGGGAAAGGUUUUGAAAUCUGGCAAAACCUUAGGUUUUAUUAUCUUUGAAUUCAUUAUUUUCUUUGACGUUAUUCUUCAUGCUAAAGUUGUGAGUGAGUGGGAGAUCUUGUAAAUAGGCACUAAAUGAGAGGCUUUGACAUUUGUGUUGUUGGACCGUCGGCUCUGUUGAUGUUGAUUUUGAUUGUUUUCUUGUACUCGUGUUGCACAGCUAAGAGGAUGUAUGUUGUAUCCUAGAGGCAAUAACUGUUGAGUAUUAAACUUAUUGCAAAGCUUUAUAUUUUAUUACGUUUCCAUUUACUAUUUUCUUAUGUACUCGAAUGUGAAUGACUAUUGUUUCUCUUAUUGGUCGUAGGAAGGUACAUGUGUCAGCCAUUGUGUUUGUCCAAGGUGGAGCAAUUCUUGAUUGCUGAAAUUAUGGUCGUUGAGCUUUUAUGGAAAUUUCUCAUUUGGUUUUUCAGAAUUUGUACUUACCCAAAUUCAUUAUAUAAUUCAUGGACUCCACAGGGAAACUACGAAAUGCAGUCAAUGCAUAGUGUGCAAAUGGUGGGUCGUGGCCAUGUUUUUAAUAGUGGAUGGAGAUUCGGUGAAACCUUAGGUUUUAUUAUCUUUGCAUUCUGUAUUUUCAUUAACGUUAUUCUUCAGGCCAAACUUGUGGAAUGGAUGAUCAAGCAAAUAGGCACUAUAUGAGUGAGAAACAUUAACAUUUGUGUUGUUGGGGGUUGUCUCUUUUCAUUUUCAUUAUCUUCUACUAGUGCUGCAGUGCAAAGGAUUUAUUAGUUGUAGGUUAUUGAACAUACUAAAAAGCUUUAUUGUGGAGGCAAUAGUUGUAGUUUCUCGUAUUGACUCUAGGAUGGUACAUGUGCCAGCUAUGUUGUUCGUUUACUCAAGAGCAAUACUUGAUCAUUGAACAUUAAGAUCAUUGAGCUCUACGUGUAUAUUUCUCCUUUGGUUUUUUAGUUAUUAAAUGUUUUUAUUCAUCUUAUCGCCUUGGUCCUUCAUCUUUUGCCCAGUUUGAUUAUAGUUUUUUUGAAUUCAUGGGCUCUGCUGGGAAACAAAGAAAUGAAGUGGGUGCAAGGUGUGCAAAUGGUGGGUGGUGGGCAGGUUUCAGAAACAGUGGAUGUAGAUCCGGUGAAACAUUAAGUUUUAUUUUCUUUGUAUUCAGUAUUUUCACUACCGUUAUUCUUCAAACUUGUGUGGAGGGUGAUCUUGUAAAAUAGGCAUUAUAUAAUUGUGAGGCUUUGAAAUUUGUGUUGUUG